AUGGAUAGAUUUCGGAAAAGAUGCAGUGAUUGGAGCGAGAAAUUUAUGUCUUAUGCAGCCAAGGAGGUUCAUGUUAAGUCAGUUGUCCAGGCCCUUCCAACAUUCACCAUGAGUGUUUUUAUGCUCUCAAAAGGCUUCUGUGAAAAAUAUGAAAGAAUGAUCAGAAAGUUUUGGUGGGGAGAGGAUGAGGGACACAGGAAGGUCCACUGGAUGUCAUGGGAAUGGAUGACAAAGCCUAAAAGAGCGAGAGGCAUCGGAUUCAGAGAUAUGCACCUGUUUAAUCAAGCACUGCUGGCCAAACAGGGUUGGCGACUAAUUCAAAACCCAGAUAGCCUAUGUGCAAUAGUUCUUAAAAGCAAAUACUACCCGCAAGGGAAUCUC
rnacentral:rRNA from 1 species